GGAGGGAUGGCAGAGCGGACGAAUGCGCUGGUCUUGAAAACCAGUGGGCCUUUGCGGGUCCCGGGGGUUCGAAUCCCCCUCCCUCCG
rnacentral:tRNA from 1 species